rnacentral:rRNA from 1 species
AGCAGCCGCGGUAAUUCCAGCUCCAAUAGCGUAUAUUAAAGUUGUUGCAGUUAAAAAGCUCGUAGUUGAAUUUCGGGGUCAGUAGGUCGGUCGUGCCACUGGUAUGAACUGGUUUUACUGAUUCCUCCCUCUUGAAGAACUGUAAUGCCAUUAAUUUGGUGUUGCAGGGAAUCAGGACUGUUACUUUGAAAAAUUAGAGUGUUUAAAGCAGGCUUUAGCUUGAAUACAUUAGCAUGGAAUAAUGAAAUAGGACGUUUGAUCCUAUUUUGUUGGUUUCUAGGAUUGACGUAAUGAUUAAUAGGGAUAGUUGGGGGCAUUAGUAUUCAAUUGUCAGAGGUGAAAUUCUUGGAUUUAUUGAAGACUAACUACUGCGAAAGCAUUUGCCAAGGAUGUUUUCAUUAAUCAAGAACGAAAGUUAGGGGAUCGAAGACGAUCAGAUACCGUCGUAGUCUUAACCAUAAACUAUGCCGACUAGGGAUCGGAUGAUGUUAAUUUUUAAUGUACUCAUUCGGCGCCUUAC